GCCAUAUAUUGCCUGGAUGAGAUAAGGGCAUCCCUUUUGUGAGCGAGGAGCAGAGGUCCGACAUCUGGGUUACUGGCAAUGCCAAGCAGAAAUCACAUCAAGGUGAAUCCCAUGCCAAGCUCUGAAGCAGAGGGUUGUAGACACCUGAGCUGUGGACAGCAGACGCCCUGAAGUUUAACCCAUGAGGACCGCCCGCCAUUUCCUCAGCUGACUGCUUUCUCGGAUCCUUUCAAAGAGGCAUUUCCUAGUGAUGGUCAGACAGCAGAAACCCGUCCCAUCCAUGAGCCUAAUGUAAGCUUCAUAAGGAGAGCGCUGGGAGUUUCUCUUGUUUACCACCCAUCGAGUCCCUGGCAGAAAGUAGAUACUCAACAAAUAAGAGCCGAAUGAGAGAAUAAAUGGGGUCACCAGGUUGCCAGUGGAAUCCCUCCCACCUUCCAGCGGCCAGACUGCUGUCUCAGACUGUAUGGAUACUGUUCUGUGUUCUUAUCGACUGAAGGGGAGAACCACAGUUGGGCUGAAGUUCUCCGCGCAGCUCCUGGGACUUUUGAGUUCUUGUGAGGUGAUCACUGGUCUCACUCCUCUUGUUUGAUCUCCCCCGGACUCUCUGCUAAGUUAAGGUCCAUUCCCUACCACGCCCACUGUCUUCUUUCUCGAGAUUCUUAGCUUCUGGUCUUUGUGUGAAACACGUGGCUCUCUCCAAGUGAAGCCCAGAAAGCUACAUGGCGGAGGGAAGGUUGUGGGCCGUUAGCUCCUGAGCUGCUGCUCCAGAGCCAGAGUCUCUUCGCAUGGUCCACCUGCGCUCGAUGCAGUUUCACGAUGAGAUCAAGGAGCAGGUCAUCUGGACUGGUUGGGAUGGUUUCAGAAGAAGCCCGAAUACUUCCUGAAGCAGUCCACCUCUGCUUUUGCAAGUCCUCCGGAACUUCGUACCUUGAGAGCUGGCUCAGAGGCAGCCGAGGAGCCGGCCUGGAGACUCCCCUUUCUCUAGAGAGCGGGACCACAGCUUGCUGGCUGAGCGCACAGAACCUCAAGGCCGCUCUACCUGCGUGCCCUGCUCAUGCUCCGCCCCCAGCCACUCCCUCGCCGGGCCUGUGCUGAAUCAGCAGCAUCCCCCUUGCUCUCUUGGCAUGGUGCAGCCCGGCUAAGCCAAGUGUGGUUACAAUGAGUCGGUUCAUCUGGAAGCUCGCAUCCUGUACCCUUUUCCAAUGUGAUGUUCCAGCCAACUGGCACCCAAGAGUAAAGAAAAACCCUGGGAACCGAGGCUGCUGAGGACUUACAGCCUUGCACAAGCCAAGGGCAAGGGCAACAUUGAGGGGAAGGUCUCCCCGCUGCCAGGCCUUUCUCUCUACUCCAUCUUGGUUCCUGUCUAGCAGCACAUGGCCCUGGCUGGCAGUCAGCGAUCCGCUGCUGGUACUUGUUGGUGGCUUGGCUGUCCUCCAUCUAGCCAGGGCAUUUGGACCUUUUUUCUAAUUCCGCUUAUGAGCUCGGGAAGCGAGCCAGUAGGUUCCCUUGGAAAUUGCCUCUAUUGAUGUCAUUUUCCAUCCUAGUCCCCGGGGGAAUCUGUUUCUCUAUUUCCUCCACAUUGACACUACUCUUGCCCUUGGCUCAAAUACAGAAGCCUCAGGUAGCACCAAAGCCAUGGGGAGGGGAAGGGAUGGGGGGGCAGAUGUAAGGGACGGAGGUCAUGGGGCACUUGGGUGGCUCCGUUGGUUAAGUAUCCGACUCUUGAUUUCAGCUCAGGUUAUGAUCUUGCAGUUCCUGAGUUUGAGCCCCACAUCAGGCUCUGCACGCACAGCACAGAGCCUGCCUUGGAUCUUCUGUCUCCCUAUCUCUGCCCCUCCCUGACUCGAACUCGUACUCUGUCUCUCAAGAACAAAAAAAUGUUAAAAAAAAACCUUAAAGAUGGAGGCGGUAAAAUGUUUACAUCUGGUCAAAGUGAUAGAUGAAGCUUUGAGCCCCCAGGGUUGUAAAGUCACCCAAGGAGGGAGGGAGUCACAGGCUUAUUUCUUAGCCCCCGGACUGAUUGGCUAUGGCUUUUGUCAGGAACUCUCUGGCACAUCCGUGAGCACCAGUGUUGACAUUGGUUAUGGGCUGAAUCACACCCCACCCUCCGCCCACACAUUCAUAUGAAAUCUUAGCUAUCGGUACCUCAGCAUAGCUCUGUAUUUGGAAAUCGAGUCUUGGGGCGCCUGGGUGGCGCAGUCGGUUAAGCAUCCGACUUCAGCCAGGUCACGAUCUCGCGGUCCGUGAGUUCCAGCCCCGCGUCAGGCUCUGGGCUGAUGGCUCGGAGCCUGUUUCCGAUUCUGUGUCCCCCUCUCUCUCUACCCCUCCCCCACUCAUGCUCUGUCUCUCUCUGUCUCAAAAAUAAAUAAACGCUGGAAAUCGAGUCUUUUAAAAGGUAAUUAAGGUACCAGUGAGGUCAUAUAGGUGAGCCCUAAUCCAGUAUGACCGGUGUCCUUAUAAGUGGAGAUGUGGACACAGACAGGCAUGGAGAAAAGACCACAUGAAGACAGAGGAGAAGGUGGUUGUUUGCAAGACAAGCAGAGCAACCCUGAGAAGAUACCAAUCUUAUCGUCAUUCCUGUUCUUAGACGCCUACCCCCAGUGUUGCGGGAAAAUAAAUUCCCAUUGUUUAAACCAUA